rnacentral:rRNA from 1 species
UACGUAGGGGCAAGCGUUGUCCGGAUUCAUUGGGCGUAAAGAGCGUGUAGGCGGCCAGGUAGGUCGGUUGUGAAAACUGGAGGCUCAACCUUCAGAGGUCGACCGAAACCAUCUGGCUAGAGUCCGGGAGAGGAGAGUGGAAUUCCUGGUGUAGCGGUGAAAUGCGCAGAUAUCAAGGAAGAACACCCGUGGCGAAAGCGGCUCUCUGGAACGGUACUGACGCUGAGACGCGAAAGCGUGGGGAGCGAACAGG